rnacentral:rRNA from 1 species
CGGAGGAUACGAGCGUUAUCCGGAUUUAGUUGGGUUUUAAAAGGGUAGCGUAGGUGGCUGAUUAAGUCAGUGGUGAAAAGACUAAUGGCUCAACCAUAGUCUUGCCGUUGAUACUGGUUAGCUUGAGUGUAGAUGAUGUAGGCGGAACGCGUAGUGUAGCGGUGAAAUGCAUAGAUAUUACGCAGAACUCCGAUUGCGAAGGCAGCUUACAAAACUACUACUGACACUGAUGCACGAAAGACGUGGGUAUCAAACAGGAUU